rnacentral:rRNA from 2 species
CGGCGAGUGAAGCGGGAACAGCUCAAAUUUGAAAUCUGGCCCUUGGGUCCGAGUUGUAAUUUGCAGAGGAUGCUUUUGGUGCGGUGCCUUCCGAGUUCCCUGGAACGGGACGCCUUAGAGGGUGAGAGCCCCGUACGGUUGGCCACCAAGCCUGUGUAAAGCUCCUUCGACGAGUCGAGUAGUUUGGGAAUGCUGCUCAAAAUGGGAGGUAUAUUUCUUCUAAAGCUAAAUACUGGCCAGAGACCGAUAGCGCACAAGUAGAGUGAUCGAAAGAUGAAAAGCACUUUGAAAAGAGGGUUAAAUAGCACGUGAAAUUGUUGAAAGGGAAGGAUUUAUGACCAGACUUUUUCUGGGGGGAUCAUCCGGUGUUCUCACCGGUGCACUUCCCCCAGUUGAGGCCAGCAUCGGUUUCUGCCGGGGGAUAAAAGCUUUGGGAAUGUGGCUCCUUCGGGAGUGUUAUAGCCCGUUGCAUAAUACCCUGGCGGGGACCGAGGUUCGCGCAUUGCAAGGAUGCUGGCGUAAUGGUUAUUAAUCACCCGUCUUGAAACACGGACCAAGGAGUCGAACAUUUGUGCGAGUGUUUGGGUGUUAAACCCUCACGCGUAAUGAAAGUGAACGGAGGUGAGAGCCUUUAGGGGUGCAUCAUCGACCGAUCCUGAUGUCUUCGGAUGGAUUUGAGUAAGAGCAUAACUGUUCGGACCCGAAAGAUGGUGAACUAUGCGUGGAUAGGGUGAAGCCAGAGGAAACUCUGGUGGAGGCUCGCAGCGGUUCUGACGUGCAAAUCGAUCGUCAAAUCUGCGCAUGGGGGCGAAAGACUAAUCGAACCAUCUAGUAGCUGGUAC